CAGGAUGAACGCUGGCGGCGUGCUUAACACAUGCAAGUCGAACGAAGCACUUUAUUUGAUUUCCUUCGGGACUGAUUAUUUUGUGACUGAGUGGCGGACGGGUGAGUAACGCGUGGGUAACCUGCCUUGUACAGGGGGAUAACAGUUGGAAACGGCUGCUAAUACCGCAUAAGCGCACGGCAUCGCAUGAUGCAGUGUGAAAAACUCCGGUGGUAUAAGAUGGACCCGCGUUGGAUUAGCUAGUUGGUGAGGUAACGGCCCACCAAGGCGACGAUCCAUAGCCGACCUGAGAGGGUGACCGGCCACAUUGGGACUGAGACACGGCCCAAACUCCUACGGGAGGCAGCAGUGGGGAAUAUUGCACAAUGGGCGAAAGCCUGAUGCAGCGACGCCGCGUGAGCGAAGAAGUAUUUCGGUAUGUAAAGCUCUAUCAGCAGGGAAGAUAAUGACGGUACCUGACUAAGAAGCACCGGCUAAAUACGUGCCAGCAGCCGCGGUAAUACGUAUGGUGCAAGCGUUAUCCGGAUUUACUGGGUGUAAAGGGAGCGCAGGCGGUGCGGCAAGUCUGAUGUGAAAGCCCGGGGCUCAACCCCGGUACUGCAUUGGAAACUGUCGUACUAGAGUGUCGGAGGGGUAAGCGGAAUUCCUAGUGUAGCGGUGAAAUGCGUAGAUAUUAGGAGGAACACCAGUGGCGAAGGCGGCUUACUGGACGAUAACUGACGCUGAGGCUCGAAAGCGUGGGGAGCAAACAGGAUUAGAUACCCUGGUAGUCCACGCCGU
rnacentral:rRNA from 1 species